CAUGUAAUGCCUAUAGAAUUAAUGCACUGGAUCCCAUUAGAAAUCUAUAGUUGAGUGUGUUUGGGCUAGAGUAGUAUUGGGAUGGGUGAGCUCCUGGGAAGUCUUAAUGUUUUACAUGC
rfam:Picea glauca, whole genome shotgun sequence.